rnacentral:lncRNA from 1 species
AAUCAGCAGGGGAAGCUUCUCAUAGCACAGGGACAGGUAGAUCAAGUUGCUUUCAAAAGUACAAGAGAAGGUUCUGAAACCAUGUCAAAAUACAAUUUUGAAGUCCCAGCCUGACCCUAAAGAAUCAACUUAAGAGAGAAUAUUAAGCAGAGCCCUUGAUGGUGUAGGCACAUAACUUCAAAAAGGAAAUGUUUGUUGCUGCCUUUCAGUGUUGACCAUGGAGCUCAUUGUUCAAUAGCAGCAGGAAAGAGUGUCAAAGCUGGCGAAGAUUGUAGAACAUAUAAGCCUGAAAAAUCUUUCAGCUGUGACUGUGACUGCAACUACAGUCACAAAUGAAAUACCACAGGAUUUGCUGCAUUUAUAAAAUGUCUGAAUUCAAAGUGUUGGUGUUGUUUUUGUUUUGUUUUUUGUUUUACUGACCAUAUGAUGCAACGGCUGAUGUUCAUGACACACAAAUCGAGCAAUAUCAGAGAGCUA